rnacentral:rRNA from 1 species
AGUGAACGCUGGCGGUAGGCCUAACGCAUGCAAGUCGAACGGCAGCACAGUAAGAGCUUGCUCUUACGGGUGGCGAGUGGCGGACGGGUGAGGAAUACAUCGGAAUCUACUUUUUCGUGGGGGAUAGCGUAGGGAAACUUACGCUAAUACCGCAUACGACCUACGGGUGAAAGCAGGGGAUCUUCGGACCUUGCGCGAUUGAAUGAGCCGAUGUCGGAUUAGCUAGUUGGCGGGGUAAAGGCCCACCAAGGCGACGAUCCGUAGCUGGUCUGAGAGGAUGAUCAGCCACACUGGAACUGAGACACGGUCCAGACUCCUACGGGAGGCAGCAGUGGGGAAUAUUGGACAAUGGGCGCAAGCCUGAUCCAGCCAUACCGCGUGGGUGAAGAAGGCCUUCGGGUUGUAAAGCCCUUUUGUUGGGAAAGAAAAGCAGCAGGUUAAUACCCCGCUGUUCUGACGGUACCCAAAGAAUAAGCACCGGCUAACUUCGUG